UCACUUCUGGAUGAUCCCGCGGCGUAUUAGUUAGUUGGUGAGGUAAAGGCCCACCAAGACGAUGAUACGUAGCCGACCUGAGGGGGUAAUCGGCCACAUUGGGACUGAGACACGGCCCAAACUCCUACGGGAGGCAGCAGUAGGGAAUCUUCCACAAUGGACGAAAGUCUGAUGGAGCAAUGCCGCGUGAGUGAAGAAGGGUUUCGGCUCGUAAAACUCUGUUGUUAAAGAAGAACACCUUUGAGAGUAACUGUUCAAGGGUUGACGGUAUUUAACCAGAAAGCCACGGCUAACUACGUGCCAGCAGCCGCGGUAAUACGUAGGUGGCAAGCGUUGUCCGGAUUUAUUGGGCGUAAAGCGAGCGCAGGCGGUUUUUUAAGUCUGAUGUGAAAGCCUUCGGCUUAACCGGAGAAGUGCAUCGGAAACUGGGAGACUUGAGUGCAGAAGAGGACAGUGGAACUCCAUGUGUAGCGGUGGAAUGCGUAGAUAU
rnacentral:rRNA from 1 species